rnacentral:rRNA from 1 species
AAGUGGGGAUGACGUCAAAUCAUCAUGCCCCUUAUGACCUGGGCUACACACGUGCUACAAUGGGCGGUACAAAGGGUCGCGAACCCGCGAGGGGGAGCCAAUCCCAAAAAGCCGCUCUCAGUUCGGAUUGCAGGCUGCAACUCGCCUGCAUGAAGCCGGAAUCGCUAGUAAUCGCGGAUCAGCAUGCCGCGGUCGAAUACGUUCCGGGCCUU